rnacentral:rRNA from 1 species
GACGAACGCUGGCGGCGUGCUUAACACAUGCAAGUCGAACGGAAAGGCCCUGCUUUUGUGGGGUGCUCGAGUGGCGAACGGGUGAGUAACACGUGAGUAACCUGCCCUGGACUUUGGGAUAACUUCAGGAAACUGGGGUUAAUACCGGAUAGGAGCUCCUGCUCCAUGGGGGGGGUUGGAAAGUUUCGGCGGUUGGGGAUGGACUCGCGGCUUAUCAGCUUGUUGGUGGGGUAGUGGCUUACCAAGGCUUUGACGGGUAGCCGGCCUGAGAGGGUGACCGGCCACAUUGGGACUGAGAUACGGCCCAGACUCCUACGGGAGGCAGCAGUGGGGAAUAUUGCACAAUGGGCGGAAGCCUGAUGCAGCAACGCCGCGUGCGGGAUGACGGCCUUCGGGUUGUAAACCGCUUUCGCCUGUGACGAAGCGUGAGUGACGGUAAUGGGUAAAGAAGCACCGGCUAACUACGUG